rnacentral:rRNA from 1 species
UACGGAGGAGGCAAGCGUUAUCCGGAAUUAUUGGGCGUAAAGCGUCCGUAGGUGGCGUGUCAAGUCUGCGGUCAAAGACUGGGGCUUAACCCUGGAAAGGCCGUGGAAACUGACGAGCUAGAGUGCAGUAGGGGUAGGGGGAAUUCCCGGUGUAGCGGUGAAAUGCGUAGAGAUCGGGAAGAACAUCGGUGGCGAAAGCGCUCUACUGGACUGCAACUGACACUCAGGGACGAAAGCUAGGGGAGCGAAUGGG